UUGAACGCUGGCGGCAUGCUUUACACAUGCAAGUCGAGCGGCAGCACGGGGGCAACCCUGGUGGCGAGCGGCGAACGGGUGAGUAAUACAUCGGAACAUGCCCAGUCGUGGGGGAUAACACUUCGAAAGAAGUGCUAAUACCGCAUACGUCCUGAGGGGGAAAGCGGGGGAUCUCAAGACCUCGCGCGAUUGGAGUGGCCGAUGUCAGAUUAGAUAGUUGGUGGGGUAAAGGCCUACCAAGGCAACGAUCUGUAUCUGGUCUGAGAGGAUGAUCAGCCACACUGGGAAAGAAACACGGCCCAGACUCCUAAGGGAAGGAGCAGUGGGAAAUUUUGGACAAUGGGGGCAACCCUGCUCCAGCCAUUCUGCGUGAGUGAAGAAGGCCUGCGGGUUGUAAAGCUCUUUCGGCAGGAACGAAACGAUGAGCUCUAACAUAGCUUGCUAAUGACGGUACCUGGAGAAGAAGCAACGGCUAACUACGUG
rnacentral:rRNA from 1 species